rnacentral:rRNA from 1 species
AUACGGAGGAUCCGAGCGUUAUCCGGAUUUAUUGGGUUUAAAGGGAGCGUAGGUGGACAGUUAAGUCAGUUGUGAAAGUUUGCGGCUCAACCGUAAAAUUGCAGUUGAUACUGGCUGUCUUGAGUACAGUAGAGGUGGGCGGAAUUCGUGGUGUAGCGGUGAAAUGCUUAGAUAUCACGAAGAACUCCGACUGCGAAGGUAGCUCACUGGACUGAAACAGACCCUUAUGCUCGAAAGUGUGCGGAUCAAACAGGAUUAGAUGCCCUGGUAGUCCACACAGUAAGCGAUGCAUACUCGCUGUUUGCGAUAGACAGUAAGCGGCCAAGCCAAAGCAUUAAGUAGUACAGCUGGGGCGUACGCCGGCAACGGUGAAACUCAAAUGAAUUGACGGGG